CCUAAUCUCCUUGUCGAUAAGAACCGAGUUGUAAAGGUAUGUGAUUUCGGGUUGUCACGCAUGAAGCAUCACACAUUCCUCUCUUCAAAGUCUACUGCUGGAACGCCUGAAUGGAUGGCCCCGGAAGUUCUAAGGAACGAACCAGCCAAUGAGAAAUGUGAUGUGUACAGUUUUGGCGUGAUAUUAUGGGAUCUGGUCACUCUGCG